rnacentral:rRNA from 1 species
GAUGAACGCUGGCGGCGUGCCUAAUACAUGCAAGUCGAGCGAACGGACGAGAAGCUUGCUUCUCUGAUGUUAGCGGCGGACGGGUGAGUAACACGUGGAUAACCUACCUAUAAGACUGGGAUAACUUCGGGAAACCGGAGCUAAUACCGGAUAAUAUUUUGAACCGCAUGGUUCAAAAGUGAAAGACGGUCUUGCUGUCACUUAUAGAUGGAUCCGCGCUGCAUUAGCUAGUUGGUAAGGUAACGGCUUACCAAGGCAACGAUGCAUAGCCGACCUGAGAGGGUGAUCGGCCACCCUGGAACUGAGACACGGUCCAGGCUCCUACGGGAGGCAGCAGUAGGGAAUCUUCCGCAAUGGGCGAAAGCCUGACGGAGCAACGCCGCGUGAGUGAUGAAGGUCUUCGGAUCGUAAAACUCUGUUAUUAGGGAAGAACAUAUGUGUAAGUAACUGUGCACAUCUUGACGGUACCUAAUCAGAAAGCCACGGCUAACUACGUG